rnacentral:rRNA from 1 species
CCUACGGGAGGCAGCAGUGAGGAAUAUUGGUCAAUGGACGGAAGUCUGAACCAGCCAUGCCGCGUGCAGGAAGACGGCUCUAUGAGUUGUAAACUGCUUUUGUACAAGGGUAAACCUGAACACGUGUAUUUAUCUGAAUGUACUUUACGAAUAAGGAUCGGCUAACUCCGUGCCAGCAGCCGCGGUAAUACGGAGGAUCCAAGCGUUAUCCGGAUUUAUUGGGUUUAAAGGGUGCGUAGACGGGUUGUUAAGUUAGAGGUGAAAUGUUGGAGCUCAACCGGAGAAUUGCAUUUAAUACUGGUGAUCUAGAGUGUAGAUGCGGUAGGCGGAAUGUAGGGUGUAGCGGUGAAAUGCUUAGAGAUCAUACAGAACACCGAUUGCGAAGGCAGCGUACCAAUCUAUAUCUGACAUUGAGGCACGAAAGCGUGGGGAUCAAACAGGAUUAGAUACCCGGGUAGUC